rnacentral:rRNA from 1 species
CCUACGGGAGGCUGCAGUGAGGAAUAUUGGUCAAUGGGCGGAAGCCUGAACCAGCCAAGUCGCGUGAGGGAAUAAGGCCCUACGGGUCGUAAACCUCUUUUGCCGGGGAGCAAGGGCCGGGACGCGUCCCGGCCCGGAGAGUACCCGGAGAAAAAGCAUCGGCUAACUCCGUGCCAGCAGCCGCGGUAAUACGGGGGAUGCGAGCGUUAUCCGGAUUUAUUGGGGUUAAAGGGUGCGUAGGCGGGCUUUUAAGUCAGCGGUAAAAAUUCGGGGCUCAACCCCGUCCGGCCGUUGAAACUGGGGGCCUUGAGUGGGCGAGAGGAAGGCGGAAUGCGUGGUGUAGCGGUAAAAUGCGUAAAGAUAUGUAAGAACACCAGUGGCGAAGGCGGCUUGCUGGGUCGAUACUGACAUUGAGGCACGAAAGCGUGGGGAGCAAACAGGAUUAGAUACCCCGGUAGUC